UACAGAGGUCUCAAGCGUUGUUCGGAUUCAUUGGGCGUGAAGGGUGCGUAGGCGGCGCGGUAAGUCGGGUGUGAAAUCUCGGAGCUUAACUCCGAAACUGCAUUCGAUACUGCCGUGCUUGAGGACUGGAGAGGAGACUGGAAUUUACGGUGUAGCAGUGAAAUGCGUAGAGAUCGUAAGGAAGACCAGUGGCGAAGGCGGGUCUCUGGACAGUUCCUGACACUGAGGCACGAAGGCCAGGGGAGCAAACGGG
rnacentral:rRNA from 1 species